rnacentral:rRNA from 1 species
GCGGCAGACGGGUGAGUAACGCGUGGGAACGUACCUUUUGGUUCGGAACAACUCCGGGAAACUGGAGCUAAUACCGGAUAAGCCCUAACGGGGAAAGAUUUAUCGCCGAAAGAUCGGCCCGCGUCUGAUUAGCUAGUUGGUGAGGUAACGGCUCACCAAGGCGACGAUCAGUAGCUGGUCUGAGAGGAUGAUCAGCCACACUGGGACUGAGACACGGCCCAGACUCCUACGGGAGGCAGCAGUGGGGAAUAUUGGACAAUGGGCGCAAGCCUGAUCCAGCCAUGCCGCGUGAGUGAUGAAGGCCUUAGGGUUGUAAAGCUCUUUUGUCCGGGAAGAUAAUGACUGUACCGGAAGAAUAAGCCCCGGCUAACUUCGUGCCAGCAGCCGCGGUAAUACGAAGGGGGCUAGCGUUGUUCGGAAUCACUGGGCGUAAAGCGCACGUAGGCGGACCAUUAAGUCAGGGGUGAAAGCCUGGAGCUCAACUCCAGAACUGCCUUUGAUACUGAUGGUCUCGAGUUCGGAAGAGGUUGGUGGAACUGCGAGUGUAGAGGUGAAAUUCGUAGAUAUUCGCAAGAACACCAGUGGCGAAGGCGGCCAACUGGUCCGAUACUGACGCUGAGGUGCGAAAGC